AAGGAUAUGUGGGUUGCUUGCAUCCGCAGGGGAGAUCCAAUGAGUGUCCUAGUCAGAGUGACCCUAAUUAACCACAUAUUAUCUACAGGCUGUGCAGAGGAUUAAGGCCCUUAGCUGUGGACCGUACAGGCCUGGAGACCCAGGGAAAGAGGACUCUGCAUGAAAACCCACUUCAUAUUCUGCCUCAAACCUGAAUUUAGAUAAAGGUGGGAACGUGAGACUGGACCUCAAAAGAUCCAAGAAAUCUCCCUCUGCCCCUAGCAAGGUGAUGUUUGAACAAAUUGAAGUUACGGUUGUCAUGUACACAGCAUCCACAACGCGAGGCAAUCUGGGGACUACACAGAGCCCCCAUUGAAGCAACACAAUGAACGGCUCCCGCGGGCCGCCGGAGAGUCUGAUUUCGGUUGGAAACACUUUAGUAGCAGCUGUGACAUACCUCAUUUCAGUUGAAAGACGAGCCAAUAUCAACAACAUGAUUAAAGAGGAGCUUAACUGGCAUCAACCAGUCAACUGUUGGACGGAUUCAAAUGCUACAUAGCUCAUAAAAGCGCUAUUGCUUUUAGAGGGGUAGAGUAUUACAAGGGUGAUGCUUUGCAAGUGAAUGCAUUUCAUAUUUUCAUAAUACCAAAAUAUUCUAUUAGAGUUAUAACAGUGCAACUCUUUCAUAAGGCUCCCAUGGGGUAUUACAGAGCAAAUUUAAACUUCCAUUAUCCUGCUACGCGUUAGCUUUAUGGAGUCACUAGAACACAGUUCUCUGCUGUAAUCCAGUUCAUGUGCGCCCGGCUCAGGUCUCUUCAACUUACCUCGAUC